UACGUAGGUCCCGAGCGUUGUCCGGAUUUAUUGGGCGUAAAGCGAGCGCAGGUGGUUUAUUAAGUCUGGUGUAAAAGGCAGUGGCUCAACCAUUGUAUGCAUUGGAAACUGGUAGACUUGAGUGCAGGAGAGGAGAGUGGAAUUCCAUGUGUAGCGGUGAAAUGCGUAGAUAUAUGGAGGAACACCGGUGGCGAAAGCGGCUCUCUGGCCUGUAACUGACGCUGAGGUUCGAAAGCGUGGGUAGCAAACAGG
rnacentral:rRNA from 1 species